CCUAUCCCUCAACCUCAAUCUCAAUCUCACCCUCUCUCUCUCGUUCUUUUCCUUAGCCCUCAAAAACCAGUCCUCAGCCCUCCUCUUUGACAGCGUGCAUGGGUCACGGCAGGUGGGUGGCUGGUGGUCGGAUCACGGCGGCGGGCUCGAUGCAGAGGCAGGAGACUCGGCUCUCUCACUCUGCCUGGGCUCGAUGUCGCCUAGGGGUUCAAGGGCUCGACAGCGGCUGGGGUUCAAGGGCUCGACGCGCGAGUGGGGUUCUCCGGGCUGGCUGGGCUCGACGGUGCGGGGGUCUCAGGGGGUGGGAUCGAUCGUGCAAGGACGGCGCAGGGAGGGGUUGGGCUGGGAUGGGUCUGGGUCGACUGUGCAGGGAGGGUGGCUAGGCUCGGGCUGGGACGGUGGCUGGGCUCGGCAGGGACGGUGCAGGGAGGGGCUCGGGCAGGGACGGUGGGCACAUGCCAAUGAAAGGGACAAAAAGGUUUUUGAAAUAUGGGAACUAGCAAAACGGAAGUAAAUUUCAGAAGAUUACUUGCUGCUGCACCUAAACAGCAGAACCAAGGAAAGCUUGUUCAUGCUUUUGGAGCAUAGCAAUAUCUAAUAGAGCGGAAAUGUACGUCUGUAUAAAGGAAGUUGAAGAGCUAUGGAAGCUGGUCUAUAUUGAGAUGCUUUUAUUUGGCGCAAUACUAGACAACAUUGACAGUUGAAGUUUUUAGAAUAAAAAAUAUAUUUCACCAACAUUUGAUACAUUUCUUGUUUAUUAUUUGGUGAUGAUAAAAUUUGAUUGUAGUAUAAACCAUCAUGUAAUAUGAUUUUGUAAGCCGAGUAGACUAAAUACUGAAGUUAUAUUUUUGAGUAAUUAAUAAAAAAAUAUUUUGUUAUA